CUAGUUAUAAGCGGAAAUUCAACUCAAAUAAAUUCGACUUAUCGAGAAAUUCUAGUUGGUGAAAUCCGAAUUAUCGAGAAAAUUUAUCCCACGUUUCGUAUAUUGAAAUGCAAGGGCCAAGGCAUUCCUUCGAGUUGUCGAGUUUCCACUGCGUCUUGUUUUUACAAUAUUCGGAAAAAAAAAACUAUAAUAUAAAAAGUUUCCCGUGAUUGUCAAAUGGUUUA